rnacentral:rRNA from 1 species
UGGAUGAGGCAUGCAAGUCGAAUGAAUUUAGAUUCAUGGCAGACGAGGUAGGAACACGUAGGUACGUACCCAAGAGUCAGGGAUAACCGGCCGAAAGGUCGAAUAAUACUUGAUGGUCCCUUCGGGGUAAAGAUUUAUCGCUCUUGGAACGGCCUGCGGGCUAUCAGCUUGUUGGUAAGGUAACGGCUUACCAAGGCUACGACGGCUAGGGGAGGUGAGAGCCUGACCCCCACCGAUGGAACUGCGACACGGUCCAUACUCCUACGGGAGGCUGCAGUCGAGAAUCUUCCGCAAUGGACGAAAGUCUGACGGAGCGACGCCGCGUGGUGGAUGAAGCACUUUGGUGCGUAAACACC